AGCCUCAGCUCUCGUAGAGCCCGCCUCCCUCAUGAAUAUUGUAGAUCUUCCCAGGAGCCCUAGCGGGAAGUCGGCCCCCCACCGCCCCCUUAUCAAUAGCAAGAGAGCCAGCUCCCAUAGUGCCCUUCUUCUCAUGAAUAAUUAACAGAGCGAGGUUCCUGGAGCCCAAACUCAGGCCUCAGCCACCCUUCGCGCCAAGCUGAAGACAGGAAGGGGCUGGAGCCAUUACGGUGUGGGGGAGGGGAGGGUGUAGCCCAAGAUCUUGAACGCGGCGAGCCAUGUUCCUGCUCCACUGCCUUUCCCUUCACCUAGUUUUGAGACAAUUUUUGAGUCGCUCCCACCCCCACUAACCCCAGAAGGGCAAGUUACAAGGGGUUUCAUCAAACCUUUUGAUGGAAAAAAGCCUCCAGACAUUCCUUUUUAAAUCUGUCUUGCCGGUGCGGUGGCUCACGCCUGUAAUCCCAACACUUUGGGAGGCCGAGGCGGGAGGCUCCCUUGAGUCCAGGAGUUCGAGACCAGCCUGGGCAACAGAGGGAGACCCCCCCCACACACACCCCUCUCCUGGUCUCUAAAUAAGCACAUAAAUAAUAAAUCUGUCUGGAAUCAAGGGAAGAUGUCUGUCUCCAGCCUCUCAAGAUGGAGUCAAGACAAAUCUUUCUAGCUAGGCCCUCCUGGCUAGAAGAUUAAAUUCUCAUUAAUUUAUUUCUUCAUUCAUUCUGUAACUAUUUAUUGAAGCCUGCUCUGGGCCAGGCACAGGAGUAGGCCCUAAGAAUGGAACAGAGAACAAGACAGAUAAGUUUCCUGCUUUAAUGGAGUUUAUUAGCGUAAUGGGGAAGAUAGAAUGAACAGACAGAGCAUCUACAGAUGUUGAGAGCAGUGCCGGUGACCUGCCUACCUCAGCCCUGAAAAGUGCCGGGAUUACAGAGGUCCUUGACCAAAUAUCAUCUCCUUGGCAGUGGGCCAGAUGCACAUAAUGGAAGCAAGGAUCCUGAGUGGUGAGUAUUUACAUUUUACUCAAAGUGUCAUGGGGAAGUGUCAUGGGAAGUCCUUGAAGAGUUUUAAGCAGAGAGUGCUAUGAUCUGAUUUACAUUACCAAAAUAUUGCUCUGGUUUUUAUGUGGAGAAUAAAUGAGGCCAGGAGUGGAGGGUAAGAUCUGUUAGGAUGUUGCAGGACUAGAAUGGUGGCUCUGAGGGAUGGGUUUGAGAUAUAUUUUGGUGGUAGAAGUAACUGAAUUUACCUAAUAGAUUGGAUAAGGGUGGAA